rnacentral:rRNA from 1 species
UACGGAGGGUGCAAGCGUUGUCCGGAAUCACUGGGCGUAAAGGGCGCGUAGGCGGCUCAUGAAGGCUGUGGUGAAAGUCCGGGGCUCAACCUCGGAUCGGCCGUGGCGACUCGUGGGCUGGAGCACUGUAGAGGCGGGUGGAAUUCCGGGUGUAGCGGUGGAAUGCGUAGAGAUCCGGAAGAACACCAGUGGCGAAGGCGGCCCGCUGGGAUAACACUGACGCUGAAGCACGAAAGCGUGGGGAGCAAACAGG